GCGUGUGCGCCGCUCGGGCUAACGAACCCCGGCGCGGAAAGCGCCAAGGAAAACCGUAACGAAGCGCUCGCACCCCCGCCCGCUCCCCCGUUCGCGGCGUGUGCGCGGGUGGGGGUGGCCGAGCGCCUCCUCAAUGUCAAAACGACUCUCGGCAACGGAUAUCUCGGCUCUCGCAUCGAUGAAGAACGUAGCGAAAUGCGAUACUUGGUGUGAAUUGCAGAAUCCCGUGAACCAUCGAGUCUUUGAACGCAAGUUGCGCCCGAAGCCUUCGGGCCGAGGGCACGCCUGCCUGGGCGUCACGCAUCGCGUCGCCCCCCCUCCCUCGCCCCUUCCCGGGGGUGACGACGGAGGGUGGUGCGGACACUGGCCUCCCGUGCGCCCGAGGCGCGCGGCCGGCCCAAAUGCGAUCCCCCGGCGGCGCCCGUCGCGACCAGUGGUGGUUGA
rnacentral:rRNA from 1 species